UGCAGAGCUCCUGAAUAAUUGUUCAAUUGUCUAUAAGAUAUAAUGUAUCUAUAGUAUGAUGCAUGACACCUAAAAUUAUUAAUCUCUCUUUUUUUUUUUUUUCUUAAAAGGUCUUGUGGGAUUUUGAAAUCAGGGGUUUUAUCUAUAAUAAUUUCCGCAUGUUAAAAAAUGAGGAUGAAAAAUGGUGUGGCACAUUAGAGGAAGGAGGACUCUUCAAGGAGGCUGCCUGCUUCCUGUAGCAGGCUCAUUCCUUCAGCCAGGGAGGAAGGGAUAUGUCAGCAUGCAAAGGCUACAACCACUCCAUGAAGAUAUGAGGUGAUGGCAUAAAACAAUUCAAAGGUAUUCCACUGAGGCAGAUGAAUUUAAACAUGGCCACAGGCGUAAGAAGAUUUGGAACGCAUGUCCAUUAAACUCACAAAUAGCUUGCCAAAUGGAGCAAAUGGAAAAACCCUCUUCCUGACAACUAUAAAUGUUGCACAAAGAUUAAAAUAAUGAGAUUGAGCUGCUACAUUGACUGUAGCAGGGUUCUGAGUUCCCAUUUUUCCAUUCAUCUGUUUGUGCCAACACAUGCCUCUUUAUCACUGUCUGAGGAAAUUUAUAGUGAAAAAAAUUAAAAGUGGAUAACCUGGGUUAUGAAGUUAAAAGAGCUAGGUCAGUAGUAAAUAUUACAAAUUAAGAUAUGUUAGUUAGCCAUAUCUUUGCUUACGCUGUUGUGGACUUUCACUAGACAAAAAAAAUUGUGAUGCUGAAAAGCAUAUCUUGGUGGAGUAUUAUUUUAUCCAGGUAGAAAUGACGAAAUCACAUUUAAAACAGAAAACUUAACAUUUCAUUUAAAAUUUUUCAUUCAUUCAUUCUUUAGAAGUAAG
rnacentral:lncRNA from 1 species